UAUUCACAGAAAACUUCAAUGAUUUUCUCAAGAGCACCUGGCCAAUAGAAAGCUGAAGACAACAACACACAGAAGCUCAGAGUUGGAGAGAGGAUUUGGGGCUGACCCACACCUGAGCAAGAAUUCCCAGCUUCCAUAUUACCAGCAAGUGAUCAUUCGGCUUCAACUUAAAGGGAGGCAAGCAAAUAAAACCAGAACACAAAACCUCUCCAUCCAGCUUUGCCAUGGAACCGGCAAGGUCAGCCUAGUCAAGAUCAAGGAGACGUUGUGACAGAAGGCUGGCACCAGAUGAUGGUUUCUUUUGACCAUGCCAACUCAUGA
rnacentral:lncRNA from 1 species